AUUGAACGCUGGCGGCAGGACUAACACAUGCAAGUCGAGCGAGCGGCGGACGGGUGAGUAAUGUCUGGGAAACUGCCUGAUGGAGGGGGAUAACUACUGGAAACGGUAGCUAAUACCGCAUACCAUCAGAUUUGCCCAGAUGGGAUUCGCUAGUAGGUGGGGGACAGGCCUACCAAGCUGACGAUCUCUCGCUGGUCUGAGAGGAUGACCAGACACACCGGGACUGAGACACGGCCCGGACUCCUACGGGAGGCAGCAGUGGGGAAUAUUGCGCAAUGGGGGCAACCCUGACGCAGCCAUGCCGCGUGAAUGAAGAAGGCCUUCGGGUUGUAAAGUUCUUUCGGUAUUGAGGCGUUAAAUACAGAAGAAGCACCGGCUAACUCCGUGCCAGCAGCCGCGGUAAUUC
rnacentral:rRNA from 1 species